UACGUAGGGUCCGAGCGUUAAUCGGAAUUACUGGGCGUAAAGCGUGCGCAGGCGGUUUUGUAAGCCAGAUGUGAAAGCCCCGGGCUUAACCUGGGAAUGGCAUUUGGGACUGCAAGGCUGGAGUACGGCAGAGGGAGGUGGAAUUCCAGGUGUAGCGGUGAAAUGCGUAGAUAUCUGGAGGAACACCGGUGGCGAAGGCGGCAUCCUGGACCAACACUGACACUGAGGAGCGAAAGCCAGGGGAGCAAACGGG
rnacentral:rRNA from 1 species